rnacentral:rRNA from 1 species
GAUGAACGCUGGCGGCGUGCUUAACACAUGCAAGUCGAACGGAAAGGCCCUGCUUUUGUGGGGUGCUCGAUUGGCGAACGGGUGAGUAACACGUGAGUAACCUGCCCUUGACUUUGGGGUAACUUCAGGAAACUGGGGCUAAUACCGGAUAGGAUCUCCUGCUGCAUGGUGGGCGUUGGAAAGUUUCGGCGGUUGGGGAUGGACUCGCGGCUUAUCAGCUUGUUGGUGGGGUAGUGGCUUACCAAGGCUUUGACGGGUAGCCGGCAUGGGAGGGUGACCGGCCACCUGGGGACUGAGAUACGGACCAGACGGCAACGGGAGGCAGCAGUGGGGAAUAUGGCACAAUGGGCGGAAGCCUGAUGCAGCAACGUUCCGUGCGGGAUGACCGCUUUCGGGUUAUAAACCGCUUUCGCCUGUGACGAAGCGUGAGUGACGGUAACGGAUAAAGAAGCACCGGCUAACUACGUG